rnacentral:rRNA from 1 species
UCUGGCCAUACCACCCUGAAUGCACCCAAUCUCAUCUAAUCUUGGAAGCUAAGCAGGGUUGGGCCUGGUUAGUACUUGGAUGGGAGACAAAUUGACACCUAGUGUUGGCCAAGG